UUAUGUCUGGUUAUGGAUACAAUAUUGCUACAGAAAUGGAUGCAAAGGUAGGUUUAAGGCAAGGCGCACAUUGAGACGCAGGGCAGCAGUGACAGAGCAGGGCAGACGCAGGGCAGGGCAGGGCAGGGCAGCACAGGCGUGGUGCGCACAUUGAGAAGCAGGCUGUCGUCCUGUGCGGUAGUGUUGAUCAUGGCUGUUGCCAAAAAUUACUUUGGAAACCUUAGUUCCGAUUCCGACUCAGAAAACGAGUUCGAGAAAGUAAUGUUAUUAUAUGACAUUUGUAGAGCAAAGAGGUCAGUGUGGAGGAGUGAAUACAUGGAGAAGAGGAAAACACAUGGAGAAUUUGCUUUAACUUCUGAGCUGUCUGAUGCAAGAUACAAGAACUAUUUCAGAUUAAGCCGAGAUCAAUUUGAAGAUAUACACACAAUGAUACACAGUGACAUAUCCUCUGAAGGAUGCAACGCCCAGAAACCAAUCGGGAGUAGAGAAAAACUGGCUGUGUUUUUAAGACAUGUUGCUACCGGAGUCUUUUGCUUCCCUUGGGUUCCAGUUCCGCAUUGGGAAGACUACAGUGCAUAACAUUGUCAAGGAAACAAGUAAUGCCGUAUGGGAGGUAUUACAACCACAGUAUAUGCCAGUACCUGAUCAUCAACAGUGGAAAGAGAUAGCAAGAGCAUUUUUCGAUAAAUGCAAUGUUCCAAACUGUAUCGGAAGUGUGGAUGGCAAGCAUUGUCGCCUGAAAUGCCCACCUAAUGCAGGCUCACUUUUCCAUAAUUAUAAACAGUAUCACUCUAUUGUAUUAAUGGCUAUUGCUGAUGCCAAGUGUUGUUUUACUCUGAUUGAUGUUGGGGCAUAUGGGCGAAACAGUGACAGUGCAGUCUUUAGUAACUAAUAUGGGUAGGUCAUUUCUCUCUGGUCAUUUAGAUAUCCCACGGCCUAGUGAAAUACCUACUACUGAUAUCAAAAUACCAUUCUAUCUCAUAAGAGAUGAAGCUUUCCCUUUAAAGCCCAAUAUAAUGAGGCCAUAUCCUCGAAAGGACCUAAAUUACUCUAGAAAGGUAUUCAACUAUAGGAUGAGUAGAGCUAGGAGAACUGUAGAAUGUGUUUUCGGAAUGCUAACUCAGAAAUUUGGUGUACUGAAAACAUCAAUGGAAACAAGCACUGAGGUAUCUGAAGCAAUAGUUAAAAGUAUCUGUGUGCUUCAUAAUUUCAUUCACCAUGAAGACAGCAUGAACUUUCGUAGUGAUAAUGAUGAUGUAAUUGAUGACCACCAUCAAAACAUGAGGAGCCUGUCACCAACAAGAAGUACAAGGCCUACAGCUGAAGCUUUGUCCAUUCGCGACACUCUGAGAGAAUACUUUGUCUCACCAGGUGGAGCUGUCGAAUGGCAGGACAGAAACAUCCACUGAUGUAUAUAUUCGCUGCAGAAGAGAUGGCCACACCAGUUUUUACCAUAUCACAUCUACUCUUUAGUUAGGUUUAACGUAUUGUAUACGGAGGAUAAUAUUAAAAUAAUUAUAGGCAGCUAUGUUAUUCCUACUAUUCUGUCAUAUUACCAUUUACUUUUAGAAGAACAUUAUGUGAACAUUAGUGAACGAAAUCAGAGACAACUGUUAAUAAUAGGAACUGUAGCCUACACCCCACCCUCUACUCUGCCUGGUGCCUGGCUGGCUGGCAGUUACGUUAUAUCACAUUUGAAAAGUAGACAAUAUGCCUUACAGUUGCGAAAUAAAAGUAUCCAACCAUAUUCACAAUGCUUUGUUGUUGUUUUUAAUAGGCAAAAUAAUAUUUCCUAGUACAGCAAUCCCUUCUAUAGUUGAGUGCAGUACAUGUAAUUUCUACUGUAAUAGCAGCUAUAAUAGUUCAAUAAAAACUGUUAAACUUUGCAUUUCAUUUCUGUAGCAAUAUCAGUCCAUAAUGCAGCAAUUACAUCACGAUUACGGUGCAUAGGAUCACUAGGAACAUAAAUAGCACGUCGUUCUUGCACUAAACUGAUGAGUUCCACAUGCAUGAUACUUCCUGCUCGGCUGACUCGCCUUGACUGAUGAAAAAAUGGGACCGCGCGCAUCAGUGAUUCUGAAUCGCCAUGAAUCUCCAUGAUUUGAAUUGACUCGAUUCGCUUGGUGUAAACGAUUCCAUUGAAUUUAACGUGGCGAAUCAUGACGAAUCAUGAAUUGGGAUGAUUCUCCAUGAAUUGAAUCGAUUCGAUUCGCUCGGUGUAAACGCAGCCUUAGAGUCGGAACUAAAGGCGUCUUCAUUAGUUCUUUGCAAGCGCCUUGGAAACAGGCAUUUUCUGACGCAUUCCUUUCGCGCAGGUUCCCUGGGAGCUUCGGAACCUUACAACUAUCCCGGUCAGCAAAUAUCUUAAGGCUUCACCCCCAACUCGGACCAUCGCCAACUCGGACCAACACCAACUCGGCCCUGGUCUAUACUAACUCGGACCACGAUAACCAACUCGGACCACUAUAUGCCAGCUCGGACCACCAACUUGGACCAUGUUUAAAAGUUAAAUAAUAAUUCAGCAGCUCAAAAUUGACUUUUAUUUCACGAUAAAAUACAAUUAAAAUUAUGCUCUAAAAACAUGCAAAAGUCAGUAAAAUACAAUUAAAAUUGUAGUCUAAAAACAUGCAAAAGUCAGUUUAAAAAAUAAAACUAGAGUAUUUCAUGAAAAAUCAAGUCAUUACAUAUUCACAGCAAUAUGAUGAGAGGCAGCUUUCAGUAAGCUUUUUGCUGUUUUAGUGCCCAGAGAAAAUUCCUCCCAAAGCAUGACUAGUCGUCCAUGUUGUUUUGUAUAUUUAUUUUUUUGGUGACGCAACACCUUUCCAUCAUUUAUAAACUUUACAUGAAGCGUUACAAGUCUAACCUCUGUGUGUAGUAGGGUUAUUAAAGUAUAUAAGUUUAGUUGGCCUUUAAGUGCUUUCAUAUUAAGUCUGUAAUGCCAUCCUUCAACGUCAUUGUUAGUUCUUACACUUCGAUCAAAUACACACCAAACUUUGGGAGGCCACAUUUCUGACGUAAUCCAUGUACUGUUUAUGUACUCUAAAAGAUCUAAGAGUGGUUGUGACCCAGCUGCUUUCCUACAGAAUCUUAUAAAAAGUCCUUCUAUGUGAUCAUCAGGUACAUACGGCAGAGAAAGCAGUUGUCUUACAAAUUUGUAGGUUUUGCUAUCAUGUGUGUAAGCAGACUGGAGGCCAAGAACUUGCGCCUUCCUCCAAACUGCUUGUCCCCAGUGAAAUGCACAACCAUGCAUAACUACAUGUGGGAAAACUUCUGGGAUAGCACGCCAAAUACUUUGUUCAAAAUCAAGGAUAACUUCUUUUACUUUUAAUUGUCCAUCUAAAAUUUCUUUGAGUUUACUAAAAAUUAUCCUAUAAUCUUUACAUCUCUUACCCGACAUUAACACAAACAACAGAGGCGUUUGUUUUACGUUACCAUCGCACUUCAUAAAUGCGUGAAUACUAAAAAGCUGGGUAAAGGGUCGCCUCACUACUUUAAAAGUUCCAUCAACAUACCAGUUUCUUGCUUUAGCAAGUAACUGAAGCUGUUCUUGUGUUGCAAACAAUAGGUGGCGUCUGUCCUCUAUACUUAUAUCUGAUUUAAGAAAGUUAGGUGGAAUGUGCUCCUCACUAAUACAAAAAGUUAGGUCACUGGGCUCAGCAGGUCUGUUAGCUCGCCGCUUCCUGUUUGCUUGGCGAGCUAGAUUCACCGGUGCAGGUAGCGAAGCAGUAGGCUUUGUUGGAUCAACGUGUUCAAGAAGCACUUCCUCCACGAUUUCUAAAGCUGGGCGAAAUACAUCAUCCAUUGCUUUGUCAUUAAUUAACUUUGACACCAUGCUUGUAGUCAAAGGGCAUGCUUCCGGUGGGUGUGAAUGUUCAUUGGCUCCUCUGAUAAACACUCCGUUCACUUCCUUUACUAUCAUGUUACAGGUAACCUUUUUAUUACGCACUGCACACCGCCAAUGAACACCAACAUUUGUUUUUCUUUUAAAUGUGUAUGAAAAUCCUAGACUGUCCACAAGUUUCUGCUUGCCCCUUUGUGAAGAUGCACAUAUUUUUUUCAUACGCUAUAAUAGGUGGAUGAGCCUCAGAGCAGUCCAAAGUGUCGUUGUCCAAGGUGUCUUCGUCUAGAUAAGUUUCAGAAUUUAUAUCAUCCACUAACGCCUGGGUCGGAGUAGGUAGAUGAUCCUCACGGCCUAAACAACUCUCGGCCUAGAGUGCUCACGGCCGAAACGACCUGCUCCCCUCUGUGCGAUAGUUUAUGAUGGUUUGAAUCUAACAAAUGUAGUGAUAAUACACGUUCAUACGUGAAGCCACGUGCAGCUUGGAGAUUUUUUUUCCCACGCUCAAAUGAAGCGGUUACUGAUUCGUGAUUAAAGAGAUAAUUAGCUCGUGUAUUGCUUACAUGUAGUUUACAGUGGAAUUUUUUUUACCUAAUUUGGUUGGGGACAUUCUUGGCUUCAUUAUGGGGUAGAGCUCUUAAUUGUAGUUAAAUAUCAAAUCGUCAAUAAUUACGGCUGCGCCAGUAUUAUGACAAUUUGUUUUUUCAUCCUGAGUCGUAGGGUAAUGAAGGCAAAUGUAAGGUAAUUUCAGUAAGUGUGUAGGGCGGAGACGUCUGUAGAGGUUGGCAACACUGCCCACAGUUUAUGAUGGUCCGAGUCGGCAAACAUGGUGGUCCGACUUGGUAUUUCAGAAAAUGAGAAUGGUCCGAGUUGGUCCACAAGAUGGUCCGAGUUGCCUUUUCAUAAUGGGCCGAGAUGGAAAAGGGCCGAGUUUGCCCUACCCCAUCUUAAGUUCCUUCUGGAACUUAGGAAAUGGGCAGGCAGCAGGGCGGAGCGAAAGACAUCCACUCGUAGACAGCGAUACAAAUAUGCUAGGUGAAAAUAAGCCGAUGUGCGUAUAUUGUUUUCAUUAAAAUCUCGGACAUAUAUAAUUACCUGUAUACAAGUCAGUCAUGAGUGAAAGCCAUUAGUAAAACUGUGUAGCGUGAAUGGUUUCAAAUUAAGUGAAUAGUAACAUUUGCUUACAAUGAGCGUGGAACAGUCAAGCUUUCAAGCGGCAUGUGGCAUUCUGGCAGGGCAGGUAAAGGUGUUUGAAUGGCCUUCCUGUCUUGGGCCACGGGUUCCAACGCAUCAUUGUGUUGUGGUAUGUGCAAUGCCAUAAUGCAGUGUGAAGUUAUGGCUGAUACAAUCAAUUAACGCUAAAAUACUCUGCAGAGUGUCUUGCAUGACCUCGCUCUUGCCUCUGUGAAUGACUUGUUACCUGGACAGCUGCUACACUUGCUUCCUACAUCACAGCUUCCCCUUGCUCCGUAAUCGCUAAUAAGAUAAUUUAUUUCGUUAUAUUAUAAUACUUGCAGUCUGUCUAGACAUACUAGAAUAAUAAACAGGAAUACAUAAGAGAUGGAACGCACCGAAAAAGUGGAAAUUGUGUGAAAAUAGCAGCAAAGAGACGCUAUGACAUUUUAUUUCAUAGUUGCCGUAUGUACAGUACCAUCCCGCAUGAUUUAUUAGUCAUAUUUGACCAACAUCAGGCAUCAUUUCGACCCGGAAUGUCUUAACCAGGCUACGGCAUAUUACUAUCUAAACAGACUAGAAUAAUAAGUUUACCUAAGAGAUGGAAUGCAUCUAAACGUGAAAACUGUGAAAAUAUCAGCAAAGAGACGCUUUGACGUUUCAUUUCAUAGCUGCCUUAUGUUCAGUACCAUUCAGCCAUAUUUGGCCAACAUCAGGCAUCACUUUUGACCCGGAAUGUCUUAACCAGACUACAGUAUAUUACUAUAUGCCUGUUCUAUAAAUGUAACAGCCAUUAAACAAGGAUAACCAGUGUGUCUGCCUGUCUCUCCUUUGAUCAGAAAAAAAAAAAAAAAAAUCAGCCCUAUAUGAUUACUUUUAUUGAAUUGACAAUAUCACAGGGACUGGAAGACUAGCUGUUCACUUCUAAAUAGCAUAAACUUCAAGGAGCAAGUGGUAAGGCUUGCUGUGGUCUCUGUGAGGACCACAUCGCCAAUGAACUGUACGACUUUUUCCUUGAGCAGCACCCCAGACAACUCAGCUGGUCUGUUCUUCAGUGAUCCUAAUCUUUCUAGACAGACUGCAAGUAUAUAUAACGAAAUAUGUUCUAUUAUUAGCGAUUAUGGAACAAGGGGAAACUGUGAUGUAGAGAGCACGUCUAGCAGCUAUCCAGGUCAUAGGUCAUUCACAGAGGUGAAAGUGAGGUCCUUUACCCCGCUCCUCUGAUUCCGCCUUUUUUUUUUUUUUCUUGUAGAAAGAUUGAGAAUAUAGAAGAGUUUGGACAGAAGUAAAAGAUAGGAAAUUGAAGGAAAGUAGUAGAUUAAAGAUUGUGGGCAGAUCAUGUCGCUAUUUUUAAAAAAUGAGUAAUGUAUAUAUUCCGCCAUGUUAAGGCAACAUUCUAUCCCAAAAAUCGCUUCUUUAUUUAGACAAGUUCUACUUCAUCACCUGUGCAAAUACAAGCCACUCUGCAGAAUAUUUUAGCGUGAACUAAUUGUAUCAGUCAUGACCUCACACUGUAUUAAGGUAUUGUUGGAAGUCUGGCCCAAGACCAUUCAGACACCUUUAAUUGGCCUGCCAGAAUGCCGCAUGGCGCUGGAAGGCUCGACUUCUACGCUCAUUGUAAGCAAAUAUUUCUAUUCACUUAAUUUGAAACCAUUCACGCUACACAGUUUUAAUAAUGGUUUUCACUCAUGACUGACUUGCAUGCAUAGUUAUGUAUGUUUGAGGUUUUAUUGAAAACCCAACACAUUUGCAUCGUUGCCCGCGAGUGGCUGUCUUUUGCUGCACUCCGCUACUUUGCCCAUUUCUGCCGUCGAUUCCCGAGGGAGCUUAGGAAGCUUGCGGCCCAAGGUAGUGUCAGGUUCCAAAGCUCCCAGGAAGACGCCUUAGAUCAGUUAUGGAGAAUUCAAAGACUCAGACAAGUAAUAUUGGAUUGGGAGCAGGAAGUUAAACCACAUAAGCUCCUACACCCUUCUCAGACUAGAUGGUUGUCACUGGAAAUGGUGGUGGCAAGGUUGCUUGAGCAAUAUGAGGCACUUAAGCUAUAUUUUACCAAUGCUGUGCUAGGUGAUAGAUUGAUUGCAUCUGAAACAAUCUUAAAUAGGCUAUGCAAUCCUAUGACCAAUCUGUAUCUUCUUUUUUUGGAAUAUGUGUUGCCUCUUUUUAAUAACUUAAACAAGCAAAUGCAGGCAGAAUCAACACAAGUACAUGUCCUGUAUAACUCAGUUUCAUCUACUCUCGAAACAAUUUUAGGAUUCUACAUGGAGCCAGGGUACCUCAACAAGACUCAAUUAACAAAAAUCAAUUAUAGAGAUCCUGGAAAAUUUCUUCCAUUAGAUAAAGUUUAUCUUGGUGUAAAAGUGACACUGCAGCUGAGAAAUUCAACUUAUGAAAAGGAAGAACUACAGAAUUUUAGGUUAUCUUGUUUGGAUUUCUACAUUGAAGCUAGCUCCCAGAUAUAUAAGAGGUUUGAUUUUGACUCUGUGACUGUAAUAAAAUCCCUGAGAGCUUUGACCCCAAAGGUAGUGAUUGAUAGAGAAAUACCUUCCAUUAUUGAUCUUAUCAGUGUGUUUGGAGCUACUGCCACAGAUAUUCAGGCAAUCGACACUGAAUGGAGGCUGCUAGCAAAUUCUCUAGAUUCAAUGAAUGUUACUUCAGAUAUGAUGCCACAAAAUUUCUGGUGUACAGUAAGUUUAACAAGGCAAUGUGAUAAUGCAUUAAUGUUUCCAAAUCUUGCUGCUUUCAUGCAAACACUGUUGUCUCUACCUCAUUCUAGUGCCAGUGUAGAAAGAAUUUUUUCUGCAGUCAAUAGAAUGAAAACAAAAGCAAGAAACAAAUUGUCAACAGAAACCAUCUCAGGCUUGCUACAUACAAAACAACUUUUAAAGGGAGCAUUCUGUUAUGACUUCAAUGUAACAAAUUCACUUUUGGAAAGGAAAGCGUCUACAGGAAGUUCUAUGUAUGAGUAACUCCUAUGAUCAGAUUUAUUUUCUAUCUGCUAGCAUUAUGUCAUUAUCCCAUAUAUGCUUGAUAUAUACUGCUUGAUAUAUACUGCUUGAUAUGUCAUGUGAUCUCAUUAGCUUUAUUAUGUCCUGUGUAUGAGUGCAGUUUUUCUUUUUCACACAGUGCUUCUUUCAAUUUAUUUUCUAUCUGCUAGCAUUAUGUCAUUAUCCCAUAUAUACAUGAUAUAUACUGCUUGAUAUAUACUGCUUGAUAUGUCAUGUGAUCUCAUUAGCUUUAUUAUGUCCUGUGUAUGAGUGCAGUUUUUCUUUUUCACACAGUGCUUCUCUCAAUUUAUUUUCUAUCUGCUAGCAUUAUGUCAUUAUCCCAUAUAUGCUUGAUAUAUACUGCUUGAUAUAUACUGCUUGAUAUGUUAUGUGAUCUCAUUAGCUUUAUUAUGUCCUGUGUAUGAGUGCAGUUUUUCUUUUUCACACAGUGCUUCUCUCAAUUUAGUUUCUAUCUGCUAGCAUUAUGUCAUUAUCCAAUAUAUGCUUGAUAUAUACUGCUUGAUAUGUUAUGUGAUCUCAUUAGCUUUAUUAUGUCCUGUGUAUGAGUGCAGUUUUCUUUUUCAUACAGUGCUUCUCUCGCUACAAAUGGUUUAUGCUGGGUGUGUAAUAUGUGUAAAAUUGCAUGUAGUUGUAUUAAGACGUCGUCAAACGGGAUAUGCAACCACUAUUUUUUCACAAAUAUCGCAAGUUUUUGAGAUUUAGCUUCCAUUUCUAAAAUCUCCCGUGUGACGUCGCCUUUAUGGGCUACACUUCCUAAAUGCUUGUUUUGAGUUAAAAUUAACUAAAUACCCUUUGUUCUGUUUAUGUGGAGUUACCAUAGGGCUAAUAAAAUUUCAUUAUUAUCAA